UCAGAGGCGUAUUGUCAGUGCUCGUGCGGCUGUCCACGUCGGAGGUUCGAGUCCUCCCUCGGGCAUGGGUGUUGUCCUUAGUUCAAGUUAGUUUCAUUAGUGUGUAAGCCAAGGGACCGAUCACCUUAGCAGUUUGGUCCCAAAGUUCUUACCACAAAUUUCCAAAUUUUAGGAAGAAUUCCACAAUGAACGUAUUAUUGUGUUUAUAAUUGCUCCAGGUCAUAAAAAUACUUGUGGAAGUCUGUACAAGAUUCCUACAAAUACUGUUAAGUAAUUAAAUAGUAGACAAAUACUUAAAACUUCAAGUCCGUUUUUUAAUUCGCGAUCUGGCUGUCACCUAUUUCACGACACCGUUACGUCAACGAGACAACAACGUGUGACGAAUGAAACGUGUUUUUCAGCAAUGUCAGAAUAUGCCAAAAGAAAAGACAAAAAUAUUGAAAAUAUCAGAAAGGUUAAUUAACAGAAGCAGUGAAACUUGUGAAGUUUCAUUCCACCUAUAUCUUUUUCCUGGAUUGCCAUGCAUUGCACAUCAGGCCAAACAUAUUAAAGAUGACAACAAACAGCAUCUUCGUACAGACUUUUCAUGUGCAUUCUGCAUACCUUUUACAGCCUCUAGAUGUAAGAAUUUACACGUCCUGCAAAUCACAAUGGGCAGACAGUAUGAGUUCUUAUGUAAGAGAAAACUGAACAGGGAAACCCAAUAGGACUAGCAUCCAUUCAUCCUGCCCCCAGCUUUAGUCCAGGUUUUUUCCAAAAUAAUGUUUCUAGUGCUUCUAACAAGGAAAACUACCCAUUGCACCCCCCCUCCCCUUCAGAUUUAGUGGUGAAAUGACUCAGUGGAUAGCCUGUCAAAAGCUGAAGACAGAUCAAGCAUGAAAACAGGAAGAAGGUGUACUGAACUGUGAAAAAGAAGCAACAUCGAAACAGUGAACAAACCAUGCUCUAGAUGUGCAACAUGGAACAAAUAUCAAUAUCCAUGGCUUCAUGAUUAUGUGGUCACAGUGUUCGACUACGAAUGGGGAGAUCUGUGUUCAAUUCUCCCUCAUGCUCCUUGUAAUUUUUUUUUUUU